rnacentral:tRNA from 1 species
GCGAAGUGCAAAUUCGCAUAAGCACACGAAAGGUGUGCCGGGGCUUUCCCCGGUU